rnacentral:rRNA from 1 species
CCUACGGGAGGCAGCAGUGGGGGAUAUUGCACAAUGGGGGGAACCCUGAUGCAGCGACGCCGCGUGGGUGAAGAAGCGCCUCGGCGCGUAAAGCCCUGUCAGCAGGGAAGAAAAUGACGGUACCUGAAGAAGAAGCCCCGGCUAACUACGUGCCAGCAGCCGCGGGAAUACGUAGGGGGCAAGCGUUAUCCGGAUUUCCUGGGUGUAAAGGGGGCGCAGACGGCGAUGCAAGCCAGGAGGGAAAGCCCGGGGCCCAACCCCGGGACUGCUCUUGGAACUGCGUGGCUGGAGUGCAGGAGGGGCAGGCGGAAUUCCUGGUGUAGCGGUGAAAUGCGUAGAUAUCAGGAGGAACACCGGUGGCGAAGGCGGCCUGCUGGACUGCAACUGACGUUGAGGCCCGAAAGCGUGGGGAGCAAACAGGAUUAGAUACCCCAGUAGUC